CACUGUUCGAUUGGUCAAGAUAGAGUGGUUUUAGUGGAAUUCAGCCCUUGAUCGACAUAUCGUCUGUAUUUGCCCUGGCCUGGUGAUGGUAGAGAGCUCUUCCACACCUCGUGCACAUAUCAGAAUCCGCGAGGUUUAAAACGACAGGAAGACAGUGUUUUACAUUGUUGAAAGACAAAGAAAAAGAAUCGAUUCUAGAACGUGCCGUCCUGUGUUUGUUUUCGACAGUUGAGGGGAGAGUCCGGUGCAUGCCAGAUACUAUCUAUUGAUUUCAAACACUCUAGUGGGAAAUAUAUGCAGAAGAAAGAACCAAGUAUGAUAAAUCCACGACAGACCUGGCACAAGCAUAUAGCAUGGCACCACUACAGCCUCCAUGACAAAAGCAUAGUUAAACAAAUUAGACAUAAGCUAACAUGUAUAUAAUUAUACCCCAACGUACAAAGUAUAUUGGGCUAUGUUGGAGUCACGCAUGUCCAGUCCAUCCGUCCGUCCGUUCAUUUGUCCACCAUGGCUGCUGGGAUGAUUUUCAUAAAACUGACAUAAAUUAUAAACCACAUGAAGACAAUGUCAAGAGCGCUCAACCUAGGUCACAAGGCCCAAGGUCAAGGUUACUCGUGGAGGUCAAAGGUCAAAUACCUUAGCUUCAUGUCCGCUCUAUAUUGUCUAAACGGCUUUGAAAAUAUUAGGCUUGACUGUUUGAUGAAUAAGGAGGAUUACUGCACUUGCCUUGGCGUCUGUGUCACUGUCACCGUGGUAUUGAAAGUUAACAUUUUAGGACAAGCUUCUCAGUGUCACUAUAUAUCUUCUUACUACUGCCCUAUUAACAUCAAACUUCACAUAAGUGUUGGUCUUGGUAAGACAUCUACAUAUAUUAGUUUAGGAACAAGUAUCCUAAAUGUCGAAGUCACUGUCUUAAAUAUUGUGAUAGUGCUGGUUAAAGUUUCAUGAUAAGCUUCUCAUUUUCACAAUAUAACCUCACAUAAGGAUUGAUCUUAGAACGUGGCAGAAAUCUUUUUGUUUAGGGUCACAUUGCUAAAAGGUCAAGGUUACUGGUGUCAGAUUUUGUAACAGUGUUAGUUAAAGUCUUGUGGCACAUUUCUCAAUUUGACUUAUAUCUCAUAUUUCCUGGAAUUGAUAUCCCUCAUGUCCUAUCCUUUUUAGCUAUACCCACACUUCAUCUACGUUCCUCCCGACACUCACCCAAAAAUGCGUUCCAUACAAAAACUUAGUUUCAUGUUCCCAUCAACUCCCCUACUCCACUGUCUUCACCUACCACCUCCACCCCAUUUCACCGAACAUUUAGCCUCGCCCCUAACCCCCACCCCCUCCAUAAAAAGGAUAAAAACUCCUUUUCGAUCUCCCACACUUAUUUAUAAUAAUAACAAUAUCUUGUUAAACAUUUUUCUUAUAGUCGAGCAGACACAACUCAGAUCACUAGGUCCAAAGUCAAGGUCACACAUAAAAAUCAAAAGUCAUGAUGACAACAUUUUACUUUCCCUUUAUCAAAGUGAGGUCUGGGGGUAUUAAUCGAUUUCAGUGAUGACCUUAGUUGAUCAGGUGUAAGUGGCAUAAAUGUGUAACAUUUGCUUUAUUGGGGGUGGGGGUAUAGGAAUGGUCUCCGUCCGUCCGUCCGUCCGUCUGUCCGUCCGUCGGCCCGUCCGUAACACUUUCGUGUCCGGUCCAAAUCUCCUAAACCACUUGAAGGA
rnacentral:lncRNA from 1 species